rnacentral:rRNA from 1 species
GACCAGACUCCUACGGGAGGCAGCAGUGGGGAAUAUUGCACAAUGGGGGAAACCCUGAUGCAGCGACGCCGCGUGAGUGAAGAAGUAUUUCGGUAUGUAAAGCUCUAUCAGCAGGGAAGAAGUUGACGGUACCUGAGUAAGAAGCCCCGGCUAACUACGUGCCAGCAGCCGUGGUAAUACGUAGGGGGCAAGCGUUAUCCGGAUUUACUGGGUGUAAAGGGAGCGUAGACGGCAGUGCAAGUCUGAAGUGAAAGCCCCGGGCUUAACCCGGGAAUUGCUUUGGAAACUGUACGGCUGGAGUGCUGGAGAGGUAAGCGGAAUUCCUAGUGUAGCGGUGAAAUGCGUAGAUAUUAGGAGGAACACCAGUGGCGAAGGCGGCUUACUGGACAGUAACUGACGUUGAGGCUCGAAAGCGUGGGGAGCAAACAGGAUUAGAUACCCGGGUAAG